rnacentral:lncRNA from 1 species
UGUUGGUUGAGAUGAAUCAUUGAUAUUUAAUAGUUUCAUGUAAAAACUUCUUGGUGAGAAAAGAUAGAAGAAUUUAUGUAACGGCUCCGGAAAUUCAAAAGAAAAUACAUAUAAUAAUCUGAGUGCGGAUUAGGCUCGGGAACCAGGUCCUCCUGAUCUAAAAUGGUUAAAUAAGGAAUGAGCUACACUAGUCUAGUAAGGACAUCACACUAUAU